UGUGCGAUCGCAAGGUGGAAACUCAAAGGAAUUGACGGGGGCCCGCACAAGCGGUGGAGUAUGUGGUUUAAUUCGAAGCAACGCGAAGAACCUUACCAAGUCUUGACAUCCCCCUGACCGGUGAGUAACGUCACCUUUCCUUCGGGACAGGGGAGACAGGUGGUGCAUGGUUGUCGUCAGCUCGUGUCGUGAGAUGUUGGGUUAAGUCCCGCAACGAGCGCAACCCUUAUCCUUAGUAGCCAGCAGGUGAAGCUGGGCACUCUAGGGAGACUGCCAGGGACAACCUGGAGGAAGGUGGGGAUGACGUCAAAUCAUCAUGCCCCUUAUGAUUUGGGCUACACACGUGCUACAAUGGCGUAAACAAAGAGAGGCGAGAGGGCGACCUGGAGCAAAUCUCAAAAAUAACGUCCCAGUUCGGACUGUAGUCUGCAACCCGACUACACGAAGCUGGAAUCGCUAGUAAUCGCGAAUCAGAAUGUCGCGGUGAAUACGUUCCCGGGUCUUGUACACACCGCCCGUCACACCAUGGGAGUCAGCAACGCCCGAAGUCAGUGACCCAACCUUAUGGAGGGAGCUGCCGAAGGCGGGACCGAUAACUGGGGUGAAGUCG
rnacentral:rRNA from 1 species